rnacentral:misc_RNA from 1 species
UAGCUUCUGAACUGACUGGUAUGGUAGAUGUGGCCUCUCAAGUGAAGCAAAAUGAUGGUGCAUGUGGUGAAUCUGCUUCUGCCAGUGCUACGGAGGUGAUGGAUGGGCUUCUGGCAUCUACUUUGUCUCUUUCAGAGGCAGCUGGAAGUCUGGUUGGUGUUGAUGAAGUGGCAAAUCAACAAAGCAAAGUCAUUAAUGUUGGUCCAUCUAAUACAAAAGAUGCUGAGAUGCUGUCUUGGACUGGUCAGUGUGGAAAAAAUGAGGAAGGCAGUCAAAUUGAUAGGAAUAUAGAGGCAUGUAAGCUGCAAUAUGUACCUGAGGAUUCUUUUAUAUUUGUG